rnacentral:rRNA from 1 species
ACCGAACGGGUGUCUGUUGAAAAAGACUCCGAUGACCUGUGGUUAGGGGUGAAAGGCCAAUCAAACUGGGAAAUAGCUGGUUCUCCGCGAAAGAUAUUUAGGUAUCGCCUCGGAUGAAUACUGUGGGGGGUAGAGCACUGAAUGGGCUAGGGGGACUUACCGUCUUACCAACCCCAAUCAAACUCCGAAUACCCACAAGUACUAUCCGGGAGUCACACAGCGGGUGCUAACGUCCGUUGUGGAGAGGGAAACAACCCGGACCUACAGCUAAGGCCCCUAAUUCGUGGCUAAGUGGGAAAGGAUGUGGGAAUCCCAAAACAACCAGGAGGUUGGCUUAGAAGCAGCCAUCCUUUAAAGAAAGCGUAACAGCUCACUGGUCUAAAUAAGGGUUCCUGCGCCGAAGAUGUAACGGGGCUCAAGCCACGAGCCGAAGCUUAGGGUGUGCCAUUUAUUUGGUACGCGGUAGCGGAGCGUUCUGUAAGCCUGCGAAGGGCGACCCGUGAGGGCGCCUGGAGGUAUCAGAAGUGCGAAUGCUGGCAUGAGUAACGACAAACACUGUGAAAGACAGUGUCGCCGAAAGUCCAAGGGUUCCUGCGUAAAGUUAAUCUUCGCAGGGUUAGCCGGUCCCUAAGGCGAGGCCGAAAGGCGUAGUCGAUGGGAAUCACGUGAAUAUUCGUGAGCCAGUGGGUAGUGACGGAUCUCUUAUGUUGUUCGACCUUAUUGGAUUGGUCGGGCCUCGACGAGGUUCCAGGAAAUAGCUCCCACAUUAGACCGUACCCGAAACCGACACAGGUGGACUGGUAGAGUAUACCAAGGCGCUUGAGAGAACUAUGUUGAAGGAACUCGGCAAUUUACCUCUGUAACUUCGGGAUAAAGAGGCCCUUGAUGUACGCAAGUGCAUCAGGGGGGCACAGACCAGGGGGUGGCAACUGUUUAACAAAAACACAGGGCUCUGCGAAAUCGCAAGAUGACGUAUAGGGUCUGACGCCUGCCCGGUGCCGGAAGGUUAAGAGGAGGUGUGCAAGCACUGAAUUGAAGCCCCGGUAAACGGCGGCCGUAACUAUAACGGUCCUAAGGUAGCGAAAUUCCUUGUCGGGUAAGUUCCGACCUGCACGAAUGGCGUAAUGACU